UUAGGUUCACGGUACAGAGGAAGGGUCACACUACCACCAGGGUCACAAAACUACCCCUGGAAAUGCCCACAACUCCUAGGAAAGCCUUGGCCAAUGUGUGUUUCUUUAGGUUCACGGUACAGAGGAAGGCUCACACUACCACCAGGGUCAUGAAACUACCCCUGGAAAUGCCCACAACUCCUAGGAAAGCCUUGGCAAAUGUGUGUUUCCUUAGGUUCACGGUACAGAGGAAGGGUCACACUACCACCAGGGCCACAAAACUACCCCUGGAAAUGCCCACAACUCCUAGGAAAGCCUUGUCAAAUGUGUGUUUCUUAGGUUCACGGUACAGAGGAAGGGUCACACUACCACCAGGGUCACAAAACUACCCCUGGAAAUGCCCACAACUCCUAGGAAAGCCUUGGCAAAUGUGUGUUUCCUUAGGUUCACGGUACAGAGGAAGGGUCACACUACCACCAGGGUCAUAAAACUACCCCUGGAAAUGCCCACAACUCCUAGGAAAGCCUUGGCAAAUGUGUGUUUCCUUAGGUUCACGGUACAGAGGAAGGGUCACACUACCACCAGGGUCAUAAAACUACCCCUGGAAAUGCCCACAACUCCUACGAAAGCCUUGGCAAAUGUGUGUUUCCUUAGGUUCACGGUACAGAGGAAGGGUCACACUACCACCAGGGUCAUAAAACUACCCCUGGAAAUGCCCACAACUCCUAGGAAAGCCUUGGCAAAUGUGUGUUUCUUAGGUUCACGGUACAGAGGAAGGGUCACACUACCACCAGGGUCACAAAACUACCCCUGGAAAUGCCCACAACUCCUAGGAAAGCCUUGGCAAAUG